GGAUACGUAGCUCAGCGGUAGAGCAACGGACUUUUAAUCCGGUGGUCUUGGGUUCAAAUCCCAACGUGUCUA
rnacentral:tRNA from 1 species